ACGAAGACUGACGUUCAGGUGCGAAAGCGUGGGGAGCAANCAGGAUUAGAUACCCUGGUAGUCCACGCCGUAAACGAUGUCUAUUGGAGGUGUGCCCUGAGGCGUGGCUUCCGGAGCUAACGCGUUAAAUAGACCGCCUGGGGAGUACGGCCGCAAGGUUAAAACUCAAAUGAAUUGACGGGGGCCCGCACAAGCGGUGGAGCAUGUGGUUUAAUUCGAUGCAACGCGAAGAACCUUACCUGGUCUUGACAUCCACAGAACUUUCCAGAGAUGGAUAGGUGCCUUCGGGAACUGUGAGACAGGUGCUGCAUGGCUGUCGUCAGCUCGUGUUGUGAAAUGUUGGGUUAAGUCCCGCAACGAGCGCAACCCUUAUCCUUUGUUGCCAGCGGUCCGGCCGGGAACUCAAAGGAGACUGCCAGUGAUAAACUGGAGGAAGGUGGGGAUGACGUCAAGUCAUCAUGGCCCUUACGACCAGGGCUACACACGUGCUACAAUGGCAUAUACAAAGAGAAGCGACCUCGCGAGAGCAAGCGGACCUCAUAAAGUAUGUCGUAGUCCGGAUUGGAGUCUGCAACUCGACUCCAUGAAGUCGGAAUCGCUAGUAAUCGUGGAUCAGAAUGCCACGGUGAAUACGUUCCCGGGCCUUGUACACACCGCCCGUCACACCAUGGGAGUGGGUUGCAAAAGAAGUAGGUAGCUUAACCUUCGGGAGGGCGCUUACCACUUUGUGAUUCAUGACUGGGGUGAAGUCGUAACAAGGUAACC
rnacentral:rRNA from 1 species